rnacentral:rRNA from 1 species
UACGGGGGGGGCAAGCGUUGUUCGGAAUUACUGGGCGUAAAGGGCUCGUAGGCGGCCAACUAAGUCGGACGUGAAAUCCCUCGGCUUAACCGGGGAACUGCGUCCGAUACUGGAUGGCUGGAGUAUGGGAGAGGGAUGCGGAAUUCCAGGUGUAGCGGUGAAAUGCGUAGAUAUCUGGAGGAACACCGGUGGCGAAGGCGGCAUCCUGGACCAUUACUGACGCUGAAUAGCGAAAGCCAGGGGAGCAAACGGG